UAGCUGGGAUUACAUGCAUGCGCCACCACGCCCAGAUCUAUGUAUGUAGAGGGCUCUGAUUUGCAAUAUUUGGGAAGUUCUUCUAAGCUGGAAAGAAAAGUCAAGACAAAGAAUCAUGGCCAAUAGGCUGGAAUGCAGUGGCGCGAUCUCCGCUCACUUCAGCCUGCG